AGUCUCUCCAAAACGGCAAACACGCGCAUCACUCCCAUCAGGCCAUCACCUUCCUCUUAUCGUCAUUGAGCUCCUCCUUCACUUCUGUCCCGCCACCGGCAAGCAACCGCCGCCGUUGCAACUAGGAGCUUUGAAGCCACUGUCGCAACGUCGUUCUCCUCCAUCGUGCAGCCACGCUUGAGCUUCAAACCCACCUUCACCGGCCUCGCCUCCUGCCUCCGUCACGCAGCCACUGUCUCGCCGGCGCCAGUUCUGUUCCAUCGCGUCAGCCCUUCGGUCGUGCCCUGUUCCUUUCUUGCUACUGAUCUGCUCUGCUCUGUUCUAGCAUUUAGUUCUAGGUCAAAUAGCUGGAUACUGAAAUUCAUUGAUUUGGAAGGUGAAAUGAGGAGAGAUGUUUGGCAUGCUUUGAUAAAGUGAAAUGAUAGCGGUACACAAGUUCACACAUGAAUAUGGACCUUGAUUAUGACCAAUCUUUUGUUAUAGAAAAAAUAAUUUUUUCGUCUUUGUUUUUAACGAAAAAAUAGAUGAAUUGAAUUAACUAAAUAAGUGGAUGAUUGAAUAUUUAUGAUUGAUUUGGUUAAUUCAAUAAUUUUUUUUUUUGUGAUUAUCUUAAAUUUCAUAUAAUAUUAUAAAUUUUAUAUGUAUAUAAAAUUUGACUUUUGAUAUUUUUUUAUAUUUGACUCAUGUAUUGUAUUUAAAUGUGAUUAUGAUGAGAUUUUAAUUGGAAUUAUACUUUUAAUUUGUCUAUAUUUAAGAUUUAUAUCAGAAUAUAUUUAUAUUUUUGUAUAUUUAUUUAAAAUUUAAUAUGUUAUUUUAUUAUGAUUCGAUUAUUUCGGUUGAAUUACGGUUGAACCUUUAAACCGAUGAACCAAUAACUCAAGUAGUUUGAUGACCGAUUCGGUUUUUAGAACCUUGCUGUGGGUGACUCAUUGACUGGGGUUCCUUUCAGCUGCUGAAAGGAAAACGUAGUGUAUUUGGCAAAAUACAAUAGUUUCCCAAAUUGAUUUGCUAAAAAGGAUUCUUUUUUCCCAAUACUUAGACACUUGAAACCUUGUUUGCAUUUUCUCCUUGGUUAAUCUUCAAGAUUGGUUUUUGUUGCAUAUCACCUUGGUUCUGAAUUAUUGAUACUUAUGGGCUUAUGCAUUUGUAUAGUAGUUUACAAAUUGCUAUUUUUGCAUUGUAAUUUGCACUGUAGUUUAUAUUAUAGUAAGAUGAGAUUGUUUACAAGUUGCCUCUUCUUUCUUCUCUUUGAUGAUAUUCAAACAAUUAUUAGCAAGCAUCACUGGGACGCAGAAAGUACCGGGGAUCGCAAAAAUGUUUGUUGGUGAAGUUGUUGAAACAGCUAGAAUAGUCAUGCAAGAGAGGAAUCAGGACCAAUUCGUCCAUGUCACUUGAGAGAAGCAUAUAGACGAUUAAAGCUUGAAGGAAGAAUAUUUAAAAGACCAAUGUUGAGGCUCUUCCGGUAAAUUUAUGAAUUGUGAAUGUAGUAGUGGAUGAUGUCACUGGUUUGCAGCAGUGUCUUGUAGGUAGAUUUGGUACUCGCUACUCAGUACCUUCAUGGCCUCAUUCGUGCUUCCUGAUAUUUGUUAUUGUUUGUAGGUGAAUUUAGAAUAUUUUCCCAUUCCUUUAUCAAAUAUUAAAUCUGUGAACACAAUAAUUAUAGGCCUCAACGUCUGUUCUAUCUAUGUUGAAGUUGAAAUGCAUAUCUGUGCUGCAACGACAGAUGUUGUAUAUUGCAUUGCAAAGCUUACUGUGUUAAAUAGAUAGCUAGCUUGAAUAACUUGGGAGAAGGAGAACUAGAAGAGGAUUUGAGCUUGGUUGCAAGAGAUCUCAGUUAACUAUUAGGGUCAAAUUAAUGUAUAGUCUAGGAUUUUGCUCCUCUAAAGUAAAAGUUUGUCCAAGCUAUUUUAAUCCCUGUUAAUGCUAAAGUUGAAUAAUUAAAUUUUGGUUAGUAAGUAUACUUAUAUGUCCCUGGAGUUGAAUGAUGUAAUGUCUUACUCCCCAAAUUUGGGUUGAGUUAUCUAUGAACUAUCUAAAAGAAAAUUUGGAUGUUGGUAUUUUCUGUUUGAUUUGUGAUUUGUACUUGUUGGGUUGAGAUACUAUUGCUUGUUUCAUUUGCUGGAUUUGCUAAUUGGUUAGACCGCAAUCAAUAUAACUAACAUACAUGUCAUGGAUUUUGGUUGCUUUCAAAGGCAUAUGUUACCCUUUCACCUCAGCUACCGGUGACUAUGUUUCAAAGAAUUUUGUGCUCCUUAUUGAAAGAAAAGCCUGUUCUUUUUGGAAUUUAUUGAAUUGUAGUAGGCUAGCUUGUUUUAAGAUACUAGCAGAAAAAAAUUGGUGGAAACCAAUUGUUAGUCUAAUAUUACCAAUGCUGCCAAACAAAUGCCUUCUGCAACUGAAAGUCUGCCAAACACUUUAGGUUAUCUUUGAGAUUGAUUCUAAACAACUAUUUUAGAUAAAAUGAAUAAAAUAAAGGAAAACGUGUAAACGUUAAAAGGAAAAGGAUAUUGGUUGG